CCUACGGGAGGCUGCAGUGGGGAAUAUUGCACAAUGGGGGAAACCCUGAUGCAGCGACGCCGCGUGAGUGAAGAAGUAUCUCGGUACGUUAAGCUCCAUCAGCAGGAAAGAAAAUGACGGUACUUGACUAAGAAGCCCCGGCCAACUACGUUCCAGCAGCCGCGGUAAUACGUAGGGGGCAAGCGUUAUCCGGAUUUACUGGGUGUAAAGGGAGCGUAGAGGGCGCUGCAAGUCCGGAGUGAAAGCCCAUGGCUUAACCAUGGUACUGCUCUGGAAACUGUAGAGCUUGAGUGCGGGAGGGGCAGGCGGAAUGCCUAGUGUAGCGGUGAAAUGCGUAGAUAUUAGGAAGAACACCGACGGCGAAGGCGGCCUGCUGGACCGUAACUGACGUUGAGGCUCGAAAGCGUGGGGAGCAAACAGGAUUAGAUACCCGUGUAGUC
rnacentral:rRNA from 1 species